AGAAUUAAGCGAGCGAGGCUACAGCGGAGGGGCGACGAGAUGAGAUGAGCCCCCGCACUUUGCAGCCCGUAGACGUAGAUGCACGCGCCUUCGGUUUGCUUGUCAACAUGUGUAAUCGAGCACGGCGAUGCUCCGGUAUUGAAUGCCGCAAUCAAUUUGCCAUGCUGUUGCGACAGCGUCGUCCAUCCAGCAGGGUCGCCGGGCGCCCUAAUUUGUCGUUAACGAUCCCAUAUCUUCGGCGCUCUCGAAUCGUUGUCGUCCGUCUUCAUCAAUGCCGGCCGGGGAGGCGGGGAUGGCCU
rnacentral:lncRNA from 7 species